GGAGAGGUGCCCGAGCGGUUGAAGGGGGCGGUCUCGAAAACCGUUGUACCGCAAGGUACCCAGGGUUCGAAUCCCUGCCUCUCCG
rnacentral:tRNA from 1 species